CUGCGGAAGGAUCAUUAUCGAGUUCAAAGCGUCCUGAGCUGGCUUUUGCAUGUGCUCGGCGCCUCGUCCACUCAACCCAUGUGCACCUGAGAGGUGCGGCGGGGUCGAAAGACCUGUUCGCCGCGCCUCGCCCCUCUACACACACCUAUAAAGUCCAGUCGAAUGUACUUCGCUUCGGCGAGAAAACAAAUACAACUUUCAACAACGGAUCUCUUGGCUCUCGCAUCGAUGAAGAACGCAGCGAAAUGCGAUAAGUAAUGUGAAUUGCAGAAUUCAGUGAAUCAUCGAAUCUUUGAACGCACCUUGCGCUCCUUGGUAUUCCGAGGAGCAUGCCUGUUUGAGUGUCAUGAAUACCUCACCCGCCGGGUUGCUUUUCGGAGCGUCCGGCGGCGUGGACUUGGGGAGUACUGCUGGCUUCACGGUCGGCUUCCCUGGAAUGCAUUAGCGGUCGCUGUCGACCUGACCACGGUGUGAUAGUCUAUUUCACUGCGGUCGGGUGUCUCUGGCGUCGCUCACAGCGGUCUUCGGACAACACAUUGUUGAUUUGGCCUCAAAUCAGGCAGGACUACCCGCUGAACUUAAGCAUAUCAAUAAGCGGAGGAA
rnacentral:rRNA from 1 species